rnacentral:lncRNA from 1 species
CUCAUUCUGACCCUGUGCUCAUCAUUGGCCCUUACAAUGUAAUCUGAACAAUGGAACCAGAGACGUUAGCACUGUCCAGCCUCUCUCAUGAUCUUCGUCCUUCACCAGCACUUCAUGAAAUAAAUACAGAGUUUUCUGAGGAAAGUAUAAUAUAUUCAGACCUCAAAGUUCAUCGUUCUUCAAAUGUCCAGAAAGGAAAAAUAACUAAAACUUUGAAAACAAAAGUUCAUUGUCUUCAAGAGAUUCUGAGUAAAGCAAACAUUGAGACUGAACAUUGCAAAAUAAUAUCACAAAACAAAGGUUGA